UCUCGCCAACUUCAUCUCCACGGCAACUCUCUCUCUCACUCGUCUCUUCCCAUCCGCACGCCUUCCACCCCACGUUUUCUUUUCCCUCUGCCAGCAAAUUCUCCACUACUUUCUCUCUUUCACGCUGCCAAGAAAACCCAGCAGCGACCGACUGAGCAACUCCACCGCAGUUGCCAUUCGUCCGAAGAAGACAGCCCCCGCGAGUCCAACCUUCAUCGAGACUUCAUCCUGUUGACCAGCAGCUGCUCCCCUCACGCCACCGAAGCCCCCCUGCCACCAUUUCCCUUUCUCUUGUUCCCCUGCGGCGGCCACACGCCCCACCGAGUUUUCUCUCCAUCUUCGUCGCCCCAUGUUCGGUCAACUCAGCGCUUAACAAAAUCGGUUUGUUGACCUUGCAGCCGCUAGCUUCGUCCACGUUUCUUCCUCCCACUGCCAGCGAGCGUGGCCCAUAUCGGCUUCCGUUUGUUGACGACUCCGCACGUCCCCAGCAGCUCAAUCGACUCUAGCGAAUCCAACGCCUGCAGCUUCAGUGUCUUCGUCUCUUCCUUCGCCAGCUCGUGGAUCAGCCCUGCAAUUGAAGCCAAAGCAGCUCCAGUCCACGAAGCAGGCCCGUGAAUCCAGUCAAUCUGCGGCCCAUGUGAGACUCAGCCCAGCUUCUUUGUGAGUUCAGCCGCAAGCCCAUUGGAAGCCCUCAAUUCAGCUCAAGAAUUCAGCAGUUCAGCCCACUUGAAGUUGGGCCCAGCCCAGUUCAGUUUUUCAGCCCACUUGAAGCCUGCGACCAGCAGCCCUCUCAGAAGCCCAAGGCCGAAGCUCAGCCUUGCUGAGAUUUGUUGGGCUGGCUUUAGGCCCGGUCCAAGCUCGUGGUGUCGUCGCGAGCCAAAGUUGGACCACCGUCACGUCGCUGUUGCGGUGUUCCGGUCUUCCCUUUGUACAAGCCCGUAAAUGAGCCUGAGGAGGAGGAGCCAGAAAAUGACGAUGAGCCAGGAAAAGAUGAAGAGCUUGAAGGAAAUGAGCUUAGUGAAGAUGAGUCAGAAGAGGAUCAGGAUGAUCCUGAAUAUGACCGGGAUGAGGACUGAGAUCUCAUCUGCUUUUGUGAUCAGUGUUUAUAUGUGAAUAGAGUGAACUUAGAAAGUCGUGAAUAUUUUGUGAAAUACUUUGAGUUAUGCUCUGUAUAAAAGUAUGGUUGUGAAUUUCAACAAGAAAAAAAAAAUGGUCUUACUUAUC